rnacentral:piRNA from 7 species
GGGGAUAUAGCUCAGUGGUAGAGCAUUC